rnacentral:rRNA from 1 species
CCUACGGGAGGCAGCAGUGGGGAAUCUUCCGCAAUGGGCGAAAGCCUGACGGAGCAACGCCGCGUGAUCGAAUGAAGGCCUUCGGGUUGUAAAGGUCUGUUGACAGGGACGAAUAAGCAAUGCAAAUAGUUUUGUGUAUGACGGUACCUGUUUAGAAAGCUCCGGCUAACUACGUGCCAGGAGCCGCGGGAAUACGUAGGGAGCAAGCGUUGUCCGGAAUUACUUGACGUAAAGGGCGCGUAGGGGGGAGUUUAAGGCCAGUGUGAAAACUCCGGGCUCAACCUGGAGACUGCACUUGAAACUGGGUGUCUUGAGGGCAGGAGAGGAAAGUGGAAUUCCUGGUGUAGCGGUGAAAUGCGUAGAUAUUAGGAGGAACACCAGUGGCGAAGGCGACUUUCUGGACUGUACCUGACGCUGAGGCGCGAAAGCGUGGGUAGCGAACGGGAUUAGAUACCCUAGUAGUC